AUACGUAGGAUCCGAGCGUUAUCCGGAUUUAUUGGGUUUAAAGGGUGCGCAGGCGGGAGAUUAAGUCGGCGGUGAAAUUUUGCAGCUCAACUGUAAAAGUGCCUUCGAAACUGGUUUCCUUGAGUGUAGAUGAAGUAGGCGGAAUUUGUGGUGUAGCGGUGAAAUGCAUAGAUAUCACGAGGAACUCCGAUUGCGCAGGCAGCUUACUAAACUACUACUGACGCUCAGGCACGAAGGCGUGGGGAUCAAACAGGAUUAGAUACCCUGGUAGUCCACGCAGUAAACGAUGAUUACUAGCUGUUUGCGAUACAAUGUAAGCGGCUGAGCGAAAGCGUUAAGUAAUCCACCUGGGGAGUACGUUCGCAAGAAUGAAACUCAAAGGAAUUGACGGGG
rnacentral:rRNA from 1 species